GACGAACGCUGGCGGCGUGCUUAACACAUGCAAGUCGAACGGAAAGGCCCUGCUUUUGUGGGGUGCUCGAGUGGCGAACGGGUGAGUAACACGUGAGUAACCUGCCCUUGACUUUGGGAUAACUUCAGGAAACUGGGGCUAAUACCGGAUAGGAGCUCCUGCUGCAUGGUGGGGGUUGGAAAGUUGCGGCGGUUGGGGAUGGACUCGCGGCUUAUCAGCUUGUUGGUUGGGUAGUGGCUUACCCAGGCUUUGACGGGUAGCCGGCCUGAGAGGGUGACCGGCACCAUGGGGACUGAGGGACGGCGCAGACGGCAACGGGAGGCAGCAGUGGGGAAUAUUGCACAAUGGGCGGAAGUCUGAUGCAGCAACGCCGCGUGCGGGAUGCCGGCCUUCGGGGUGUAAACCGCUUUCGCUUGUGACGAAGCGUGAGUGACGGUAAUGGGUAAAGAAGCACCGGCUAACUACGUG
rnacentral:rRNA from 1 species